rnacentral:tRNA from 1 species
AGUAUCGCGCCGGAAGAACGGGCUACUCUGAUGAGGUAGACCAUAGGCACAACACCUCGAUACUU